CCAGCAGCUGCGGUAAUUCCAGCUCCAAUAGCAUAUAUUAAAGUUGUUGCAGUUAAAAAGCUCGUAGUUGAAUUUCUGUCAUUGUAUUGCCGGUCAAUAUUGACUUGUGCAAUACGAUGACAUAAUCUCUCGGUACAUUUGUGCCUUGAGACCUUCACUUUGAGAAAAUUAGAGUGUUUCAAGCAAGCUUUUGCUUUGAAUACUACAGCAUGGAAUAAUAUAAUAGGACUUUGGGCCUAUUUGUUGGUUUCAGGCCUGAAGUAAUGAUUAAUAGGGACAGUUGGGGGCAUUCGUAUUUGACAGUCAGAGGUGAAAUUCUUAGAUUUGUCAAAGACGAACUACUGCGAAAG
rnacentral:rRNA from 1 species